UACAGAGGGUGCGAGCGUUAAUCGGAAUCACUGGGCUUAAAGCGUUCGUAGGCGGGUCUGUAGGCGCGUUGUGAAAGCCCUCGGCUCAACCGGGGAACUGCUUCGCGAACCACAGAUCUUGAGUCAAGUAGGGGCGAUCGGAACGAUAGGUGGAGCGGUGAAAUGCGUAGAUAUCUAUCGGAACGCCGAAGGUGAAGACAGGUCGCUGGGCUUGUACUGACGCUGAGGAACGAAAGCGUGGGGAGCAAACGGG
rnacentral:rRNA from 1 species